AUUGAACGCUGGCGGCAGGCUUAACACAUGCAAGUCGAGCGGAGAUGAGGUGCUUGCACCUUAUCUUAGCGGCGGACGGGUGAGUAAUGCUUAGGAAUCUGCCUAUUAGUGGGGGACAACAUUCCGAAAGGAAUGCUAAUACCGCAUACGUCCUACGGGAGAAAGCAGGGGAUCUUCGGACCUUGCGCUAAUAGAUGAGCCUAAGUCGGAUUAGCUAGUUGGUGGGGUAAAGGCCUACCAAGGCGACGAUCUGUAGCGGGUCUGAGAGGAUGAUCCGCAACCCUGGGACUGAGACACGGCCCAGACUCCUACGGGAGGCAGCAGUGGGGAAUAUUGGACAAUGGGGGGAACCCUGAUCCAGCCAUGCCGCGUGUGUGAAGAAGGCCUUGUGGUUGUAAAGCACUUUAAGCGAGGAGGAGGCUACUGAGACUAAUACUCUUGGAUAGUGGACGUUACUCGCAGAAUAAGCACCGGCUAACUCUGUGCCAGCAGCCGCCGUAACAC
rnacentral:rRNA from 1 species